rnacentral:rRNA from 1 species
AUUGAACGCUGGCGGCAGGCCUAACACAUGCAAGUCGGACGGUAGCACAGAGGAGCUUGCUCCUCGGGUGACGAGUGGCGGACGGGUGAGUAAUGUCUGGGGAUCUGCCCGAUAGAGGGGGAUAACCACUGGAAACGGUGGCUAAUACCGCAUAACGUCGCAAGACCAAAGAGGGGGACCUUCGGGCCUCUCACUAUCGGAUGAACCCAGAUGGGAUUAGCUAGUAGGCGGGGUAACGGCCCACCUAGGCGACGAUCCCUAGCUGGUCUGAGAGGAGAACCAGCCACACUGGAGCUGAGACACGGUCCAGACUCCUACGGGAGGCAGCAGUGGGGAAUAUUGCACAAUGGGCGCAAGCCUGAUGCAGCCAUGCCGCGUGUAUGAAGAAGGCCUUCGGGUUGUAAAGUACUUUCAGCGGGGAGGAAGGCGAUGUGGCUAAUAACCGCGUCGAUUGACGUUACCCGCAGAAGAAGCACCGGCUAACUCCGUGCCAGCAGCCGCCGCGG